rnacentral:rRNA from 1 species
AACGAACGCUGGCGGCAGGCUUAACACAUGCAAGUCGAGCGCCCCGCAAGGGGAGCGGCAGACGGGUGAGUAACGCGUGGGAACGUACCCUUCAGUUCGGAAUAACUCAGGGAAACUUGGGCUAAUACCGGAUACGUCCGAGAGGAGAAAGAUUUAUCGCUGAAGGAUCGGCCCGCGUUGGAUUAGCUAGUUGGUGGGGUAAUGGCCUACCAAGGCGACGAUCCAUAGCUGGUCUGAGAGGAUGAUCAGCCACACUGGGACUGAGACACGGCCCAGACUCCUACGGGAGGCAGCAGUGGGGAAUAUUGGACAAUGGGCGAAAGCCUGAUCCAGCCAUGCCGCGUGAGUGAUGAAGGCCCUAGGGUUGUAAAGCUCUUUCAGUGGGGAAGAUAAUGACGGUACCCACAGAAGAAGCCCCGGCUAACUUCGUG